UCGGCAGCUACACAUGCAGUCGAACGGUAGCACAGAGAGCUUGCUCUCGGGUGACGAGUGGCGGACGGGUGAGUAAUGUCUGGGAAACUGCCUGAUGGAGGGGGAUAACUACUGGAAACGGUAGCUAAUACCGCAAAACGUCGCAGGACCAAAGAGGGGGACCUUCGGGCCUCUUGCCAUCAGAUGUGCCCAGAUGGGAUUAGCUAGUAGGUGGGGUAACGGCUCACCUAGGCGACGAUCCCUAGCUGGUCUGAGAGGAUGACCAGCCACACUGGAACUGAGACACGGUCCAGACUCCUACGGGAGGCAGCAGUGGGGAAUAUUGCACAAUGGGCGCAAGCCUGAUGCAGCCAUGCCGCGUGUAUGAAGAAGGCCUUCGGGUUGUAAAGUACUUUCAGCGGGGAGGAAGGUGUUGUGGUUAAUAACCACAGCAAUUGACGUUACCCGCAGAAGAAGCACCGGCUAACUCCGUGCCAGCAGCCGCGGUAAUACGGAGGGUGCAAGCGUUAAUCGGAAUUACUGGGCGUAAAGCGCACGCAGGCGGUCUGUCAAGUCGGAUGUGAAAUCCCCGGGCUCAACCUGGGAACUGCAUUCGAAACUGGCAGGCUGGAGUCUUGUAGAGGGGGGUAGAAUUCCAGGUGUAGCGGUGAAAUGCGUAGAGAUCUGGAGGAAUACCGGUGGCGAAGGCGGCCCCCUGGACAAAGACUGACGCUCAGGUGCGAAAGCGUGGGGGAGCAAACAGGUUAG
rnacentral:rRNA from 1 species